CCCAUAUUGGAUUGUUUCACGUGAAAAGUAUGUGAACUGGAUGAUGUCAGGAUCUACAUGUACUUCACCGGCUCUUUCCUGGAGCAGUGUGUGUCUUUGCUUCUUGGAGUUCCUGUAGAGUUCUGCGAGGGUCUCUGAUUCACACAGGGCACACAGAAUGGCCUCCUGUUACCUGGCUGAGCGUUCUCAACCACCUGCUGAGAGACAACGUAGAACUCGUGUUCAGGAUUUGCAGAUGUGAGUAACAGCUGGAUGUUCUGUGAUGCACUGUGGAGAAAGUUAAA